rnacentral:rRNA from 1 species
AUUUAAUAUAUUAUUAAUUUAAAAUGUUUUUAAAAAUUUAAUUAAAAUAAUUUUUUUAUUAUUGAAAUAGAACAAAUUUAAUUUAUGAUAGAUAAUAGUAUUGUGAGAGAAAUACUUUUAAAUUUUAUAAAGAAAAUAAUUUGUUUUACCUUGUGUAUCAGGGUUUAUUAAAUAAUAUUAAUUUAUAUUAAUAUCUCGAAUUUAAAAGAGCUAAUUUUAAAUAAAUUUUAUUGUUUCAUAAAUUUUAAAAUUUAAAAUUAGAAAUGAAAUGUUAUUCGUUUUUAAAUAUAUCUAGUUUUUUUAGAAAAAAAUUAAAUUUUAUUAUUUUUUUUUAAUCUAGAUAAUUUUUUAUUAUAUUAAAAUAAAUAUUAAAUAAUUUAAGGGAUAAGCUUUAAAUUAAAAUAUUAAAAUUAAAGAAAUUUGUGUUUUAAAAUUGUAGAAUUGAAAAUUUUUACCUUUAAAAGUUUUUUAUAAUUUAUUAAAAUUGAACUAUAAUUUUUAUUUAAUUUAAAUUUUUUAUAAAAAUAAAUAAAUAAUUAAUAUUUUUAUUUAAAUAAUGAUAAAAUUAGUAUAUUUUUAAAUGUUAAAAAAAAUUUAAAAUUAUAAAUUAAUUUUAAGGAAUUCGGCAAAAAAUUUUUCACCUGUUUAUUAAAAACAUCUCUUUUUGAUAAUAAUUUAAAGUAGGGCCUGCCCACUGAAAAUUUGAAGGGCCGCAGUAUUCUGACUGUGCAAAGGUAGCAUAAUCAUUAGUUUUUUAAUUGAAAGCUGGAAUGAAUGGUUUGAUGAGAAAAUAGCUGUCUCAAUUUUAAUUAAUAGAACUUUAUUUUUAAGUUAAAAAGCUUAAAUUUCUUUAAAAGACGAGAAGACCCUAUAGAGUUUUAUUUAUAAUUUUAAAUAAUUUUAAAGAAUUUAAUAAGAAAUUUAUUUUUAUAAAUUUGGUUGGGGUGACUAAAAAAUUAAAUAAACUUUUUUUUAUAUGUUCCAUUUAUUUAUGAUUAUUUGAUCCAAGCAAUUUGAUUAUAAGAUUAAAUUACCUUAGGGAUAACAGCGUAAUUUUUUUUGAGAGUUCAUAUCGAAAAAAAAGAUUGCGACCUCGAUGUUGGAUUAAAAUUAAUUUUUGGUGUAGAAGCUAAAAUAUUAGGUCUGUUCGACCUUUAAAAUUUUACAUGAUCUGAGUUUAAACCGGUGUAAGCCAGGUUGGUUUCUAUCUUUAAAUAAAAUAUUAUAUUUUAGUACGAAAGGACCAAAUAUAAAAUUUAAAAUUUUUAUUUUGAAUAAAAUU